UCCCCAGUGGCGCAAUUGGUUAGCGCGCGGUACUUAUAAUGCCGAGGUUGUGAGUUCGAUCCUCACCUGGGAAA
rnacentral:tRNA from 1 species